rnacentral:rRNA from 1 species
GCCUCCCUCUUUCUUCGUGCUUAACACAUGCAAGUCGAACGGAAAGGCCCUGCUUUUGUGGGGUGCUCGAGUGGCGAACGGGUGAGUAACACGUGAGUAACCUGCCCUUGACUUUGGGAUAACUUCAGGAAACUGGGGCUAAUACCGGAUAGGAGCUCCUGCUGCAUGGUGGGGGUUGGAAAGUUUCGGCGGUUGGGGAUGGACUCGCGGCUUAUCAGCUUGUUGGUGGGGUAGUGGCUUACCAAGGCUUUGACGGGUAGCCGGCCUGAGAGGGUGACCGGCCACAUUGGGACUGAGAUACGGCCCAGACUCCUACGGGAGGCAGCAGUGGGGAAUAUUGCACAAUGGGCGGAAGCCUGAUGCAGCAACGCCGCGUGCGGGAUGACGGCCUUCGGGUUGUAAACCGCCUUCGCCUGUGACGAAGCGUGAGUGACGGUAAUGGGUAAAGAAGCACCGGCUAACUACGUG